ensembl:snRNA U2 U2 spliceosomal RNA
AUCGUUUCUUGGCUUUUGGCUAAGAUCAAGUAUAGAAUCUGUUCUUACCCUUUAAUAUCUGGUAUGUCCUCUAUCUGAGGACAGUAUAGUUAAUGGACUUUUUUGAGCAGGGAGAUGGAAUAGGAGCUUGCUCCAUAUUCACACCACACAUCGACCUGGUAUUGCAGUACCUCCAGGAAUGGAGCGACCCUC